UCCCCAACAGAUAUGCAAAUACACAUAUGUGGGAUGGAUCUCACUCCAUUUAUGGAAUUCAUAAGGCUCUGUUAAACGUGUCAAACAGAGGAGAACCCAGAAAAAAACAUCACACACCAUGUUCUCUACAUCUUUACUGCUCCUGCUGGUGGCUGCAUCCUAUGUCCACAGUGAGGAACUGACUCAGCCUGCUGCCAUGACAGUCCAGCCAGGCCAGAGUCUCUCCAUCCCCUGUAAGGUUUCUUAUUCAGUUACAAGUUAUCAUACAGCUUGGAUCCGACAACCUGCAGGAAAAGCUCUGGAGUGGAUAGGAAUCAUCUUGGGUAGUGGGGGUACAGCUUACAGCGACAAACUAAAAAAUAAGUUCAGCAUCUCCAGAGACACUUCUACUAACACAAUAACAAUUCAAGGACAGAAUCUGCAAACUGAAGACACAGCUGUGCAUUACUGCGCAAGAGAGUCACAGUGA